CAGUCGCCACGGGAAUACGGAGGGGGCUAGCGUUGUUCGGAAUUACUGGGCGUAAAGCGCACGUAGGCGGCUUGGUAAGUUAGAGGUGAAAGCCCGGAGCUCAACUCCGGAAUUGCCUUUAAGACUGCCGAGCUAGUAGGUGAGAGAGGUAAGUGGAAUUCCGAGUGUAGAGGUGAAAUUCGUAGAUAUUCGGAAGAACACCAGUGGCGAAGGCGGCUUACUGGCUCAUUCUAGACGCUGAGGUGCGAAAGCGUGGGGAGCAAACAGGAUUAGAUACCCCCGUAGUCCCUGUCUCUUAUAC
rnacentral:rRNA from 1 species